UAUAUAAUGUAAUAAUAAUCUAUUUUCCCCGACUUUGAAUACGUACGUUCUUACAGUUAAUCACUGAAAAAAUAUAUAUAAAACGAGGUUAAGCAAUGGAUGCUGUGUAUGGUAAAUUUAUAUUACUUAAACGACCUAUAUUAAGAUGUAGCGUUACCUUCUGCUUCCUCUUGUCAUUCUCUAUUAUUAUUAUUAUUAUUAUUAUUAUUAUUAUUAUUAUUUGAAUUGUUGUAAUUGCUGUAAUUUGUGUCACAUUAUGAUAAUGUUACAGACAAUUAUUUUGUAAAUUUAAUACGGAAAUGAGGUGUAGCGACAUUUGUGUUUCUCUCUGUGUUACACUUGUUUUUCUUCUGUUUUGUAAUGUAUUGUUGUAUACUUGUGUGUGUUCUAGCACUGUUCUCCGAGCACUGAUCUCAGGAGCACUGUUCUCCGAGCACUGUUUUCUGAACACUGUUCUUCGAGCACUAUCACCAAGCACACUUUACCGAGCACUCCCUACCGAGCACUCCCUACCGAGCACACACUACCGAGCACACACUACCGAGCACUCCCUACCGAGCACUCCCUACCGAGCACACACUACCGAGCACACACUACCGAGCACACACUACCGAGCACUCCCUACCGAGCACACACUACCGAGCACACACUACCGAGCACACACUACCGAGCACACACUACCGAGCACACACUACCGAGCACACACUACCGAGCACUCUUUACCGGGCAGUGUUCCUUGUAGCUUGCGGGUGAUUUGUUCUCUAAUAUUUGUUACAUCUUUUGGGACAUGAAUUUUCAUAUGCUGAACUUUUGAGACAAUUGUGUGAAAUGUUUCUCUGUAUCUCCUAGGGAAAAAGAGGUUUCCAGGAACCUCUGCAUCUCACGGUCCCUUGGAGAGGUUUCCAGGAGCCUCUAGACUUCACGGGCUCUUGUAGAGGUUUAGAGGAGCCUUUGAAUCUCACGGGCCCUUGGAGAGGUUCCCAGGAACCUCUGCAUCUAACGGGUCCUUGGAGAGGUUUCCAGGAGUGCUUCACCUGCCCUUGCCAACCUCAUCAAAGAGAAUGGUGGCUCGCUAGUGUAUUCCUCACUAAACGAAUGAAUUCACGGAAAUGAGUGGAUGAUCUCGUAUGAGAACCUACAUGUCGACUGCCCUGUCCAUACACACACAGCACCUUUUAACGUGUUCAUAUUCUAGAGACCCACUGUUGAUUUUGUAGAAAUUUAUGUGAGAUAAACUUGCGAUGUAUUGUGAGUUGUAUUCCAGACUCUCUAGUUUUAUUUCACAAUCCUGUUUUAUAGGACGUUGCGUGUAAAGGGGGAGUUGUAGAAUGGUUCUUUGAUGCUUAAUUGAAUAGUUUUCUACAUGCCAAGCCUUUAGUACUGAUGCAAAGAUGUUUCUCAAGCCCUUCUCAGACGGUAUUGCCAAAUUAAAUGGAUUCAAGUA